rnacentral:rRNA from 1 species
UCUCGUAGCUUGCUAUGAGAACAAUUAGUGGCACACGGGUGAGUAAUGCAUAUGAAUCUACCUAGUAUUAUAGGAUAGCCCCUAGAAAUGGCGGGUAAUACUGUAUAAUCCCUGCGGGGGAAAGAUUUAUCGCUACAUGAUGAGCCUAUGUUAGAUUAUCUAGUUGGUGGGGUAAUGGCCUACCAAGGCAGUGAUCUAUAGCUGGUCUGAGAGGAUGAUCAGCCACACUGGAACUGAGACACGGUCCAGACUCCUACAGGAGGCAGCAGUGGGGAAUAUUGGGCAAUGGGCGCAAGCCUGAUCCACCUAUGCCGCGUGAGUGAAGAAGGCCUUAUGGUUGUAAAACUCUUUCCGUGGGGAAGAUGAUGACGGUACCCACAGAAGAAGUCCCGGCUAACUCCGUGCCACCAGCCGCGGUAAUACGGAGGGGGCAAGCGUUGUUCGGAAUUAUUGGGCGUAAAGGGCAUGUAGGUGGUUUGGUAAGUUAAAGGUGAAAUGCCAGGGCUUAACCCUGGAGCUGCUUUUAAUACUGCCAGACUGGAAUCCGGGAG